rnacentral:lncRNA from 1 species
GCAUUGCAAUUCCUUCUCCUGAUAAGCGUCACUACACCUGCCACACCUUGCUCUGAUCUACAUUCUAUCUUAUGGGUGGGGAGAAGAAGGCAGUGAUUAAUGUUGGCAAUACUUAGUCAACAUCUUAUUAAUAAGUGGUUAGUUCCUAGGUAUUCAUUAAGUACCUUCUCUGUUUCCAGUCUUAUCCCAGGCAGUAAAAGAGAUAAAGAAAAUCCUCAGCUACUGCCUUUUAUCUUCCGUCACUCCCUGACUUCUUGGCCUGAUGUUAUCUGACCAACACUGAGACAAACAUGUCUUUGGGUCUUGGUAAGUGGCUGUGUUUCUCUGUUGGGAACAACCAUUGUACAAGCAGGAAAACAUUUGUUGAAUGCUCAAAAUAUUCCAGGAACUGAAGGAUAUAGAGGUAAAUGAGAUAGUCUUUGCUCUUUGCAAAGAGUUCCCUUUAUAGCAGGUGGGACUAUCAUGUAAAUAAAUAUUACAAUUUCAAACUGGGUGUAGUGGCUCAUGGCUAUAAUCCCAGCACUUUGGGAGAAUGAGACAGGUGGAUCACUUGAGUUCAGGAGUUCGAGACUAGCCUGGCCAACAUGGUGAAACCUUGUCUCCACUAAAAAAAAUGCACACACAGAAAAAUUAGUGGGUAUGGUAGUGGGCACCUGUAAUACCAGCUACUCAGGAGGCUGAGGCAGGGGAAUCACUUGAACCCAGGAGGCAGAGUUUGCAGUGAGCCAAGAUUACACCACUACACUGCAGCCUGAGCAACAUGAGGAGACUCUGUCUCAAACAAAAACAAAAAAAACCCAAAAACCAAACAAAUAUUGCAAUUCCAAUUUGUGAGACUCUCAAAUCAAAAGAAGCUUAUACUAAGUAUAGGACAGAGAAAAAGAGUCUGUAACUAGCUUCGGGGGUGGCGAGUAAGGAAGAAUUUCUGGAAGAGUUCUAGAUGAGUAGGUAUUUUUCAGAUGGAUAACAGGGAAAAUGGAGGUGGAUGGUCGGGGAGGGAAUGGAAGGAAAUGAGACUUGUAACAAAGGCAGAGGUCAGUUCAUAUGGGUCUUUGGGGAACAUGAUCAGAUUUGCAGUUAGAAACAUUACUUUGACUUAGCCUAGAUGCUGGAUUCAAAUGCCAAUGCUGGGACCAGUAUCUACUUAAAUUAGGGUUUGAUAAGCUACUUCAAGGGUCAAAUCUGGCCCACAACUAUCUGUUUGUGUAAAUAAGGUUUUAUUGGAACACAGAAACACACAUUGGUUUAUAUGUUUUCUGUGGCUGUUUUUAUUCUACCAGAAAAUAAUCGAAUACAGUUGGUUCCAGGAUUCCCAUGAAUACCAAAAUCUGCAAUGUUCAAGUCUCUUGUAUAAAAUGGCAUAGUAUUUGGAUAUAAUGGAUUCACAUCCGUCUAUAUACUUCAAAUCAUCUCUAGAUUACUUAUAAUACCUAACAGAAUGUAAAUACUAUGUAAAUAGUUUUUGUGCUGUCAUACAUCACUUAGCAAUAGGAAUAUGUUUUGAGAAAGACUAUUUCGUUCUUGUGUGAACAUCAUGGUAUACACAAAAACCUAGAUGACAUAGCCUACUAAACACCUAGGCUAUGUGGUAUAGCCUAUUGCUCCUGUACAGCAUGUGACAGUACUGAAUACUGUAGCAAUUUAAUAUAAUAAGUAUUUGUGUAUCUAAAUAUAUCUAAGCAUAGAAAAGGUACAGUAAAAAUACAGUAUAAAAAGUAAAAAAUGAUAUAGUGCAUUUACUAUAGAUGGAGCUUACAGGACUGGAAGUUGCUCUGGGUGAAAUUAGUGAGUAAGUGGAGGGUGAAUGUAAAGGCCUAAGAUAUCACUGUACACUACUGUAGACUUUAGAAACACUGUACACUUAGGCUAUGCUGAA